UGGCUCAGUGGUAGAGCGCUUGCCUUGCAUGCAUGACGCCCUGGGUUCGAUUCCUCAG
rfam:Dipodomys ordii contig_55827, whole genome shotgun sequence.